rnacentral:rRNA from 1 species
UACGGAGGAUGCGAGUGUUAUCCGGAAUCACUGGGCGUAAAGCGUCUGUAGGUUGUUUGCUAAGUCUGCUGUUAAAGCUUGAAGCUCAACUUCAAAAAUGCAGCGGAAACUAGUAGACUUGAGUGUGGUAGGGGUAGAGGGAAUUUCCAGUGAAGUGGUGAAAUGCGAUAGAUAUUGGAAAGAACCACCAAUGGCGAAGGCACUCUACCGUGGGC